rnacentral:rRNA from 1 species
GAGUGAUGAAGGCCUUAGGGUCGUAAAGCUCUUUCGCCUGUGAAGAUAAUGACGGUAGCAGGUAAAGAAACCCCGGCUAACUCCGUGCCAGCAGCCGCGGUAAUACGGAGGGGGUUAGCGUUGUUCGGAAUUACUGGGCGUAAAGCGCACGUAGGCGGACUGGAAAGUAUGGGGUGAAAUCCCAGGGCUCAACCCUGGAACUGCCUCAUAAACUAUCAGUCUAGAGUUCGAGAGAGGUGAGUGGAAUUCCGAGUGUAGAGGUGAAAUUCGUAGAUAUUCGGAGGAACACCAGUGGCGAAGGCGGCUCACUGGCUCGAUACUGACGCUGAGGUGCGAAAGUGUGGGGAGCAAACAGGAUUAGAUACCCUGGUAGUCCACUGCUG